AGACUAUGACUACAUUCACAAGUUGUGUGUGUUUGUGAGCAUGUUACAGUUGUGGAUUUAUGAGAAACGACGAUCAAUGUCAGUUACUCUGUACGAACGUUCUCAUUUUAAGUUGCCAGUUAGGCAUCAUCAUGUAAUUUACGGGCUUUGUAUCUCCUGUUAUCAGGAAUGACGCCACAGUCGUCUGGUGAAGAAACACUCAGUGUUGUCGAGGCUUCCUUACACACCACUACUACACUGCCACUCCACUCUACAGUUUGUCCAACAGAUGGCUGGAGGAGCCGAGGCGGAGGAUCAGGGUUGGAUUUUCGUGGUGACGACCACGUUGGUGGUGGUCCUGGGCUCUGUCUAUGUCUACCGCUGUGUGGUCAGGAGGAACAGAAGGAGGAAGUGGCGUCAAGCAGGUGAGAACGUGGUAUUGGUACACUGCUUUCGACCUGGCUUCUUCACCCCCUGUGUGUCGCCCUUCGUUAUGAAACUAUUAACUUACCUCAGACUGGCGCAGAUACCUUAUAAGGUGGAGCAUGAAGAGCCCAAGGGGAAGCUUGGCUUGUCCCCGUGGGUGACGCUCAACGGGGAGGAGCUGACAGACUCACAAAUAGUGAUAGAAAGACUCGCCCAACAUUAUGGCAAAAACUUCAGCAAGAGGUUGACGGAGGAGCAGCGGGCGGUGGCUUGGUCCUUCACUAUCAUGAUAGACGAACACCUCUGCUGGUGCCUGAGGGAGUGGCGGUUUAAGGUGGACAAUGGAAGGACACUUGUGGAGGGUAUGCGACACCUGUGGUACGUGCACCUCUUUAAGUACUUCUUCGUGGAGUCCAGGAAACAGACGCUGUGGCAUCAAGGCAUUGGGAGGCACUCUCACUCUUGGGCCUGGAGCCUCACAAACAAGGAUCUACAUGCCCUGUCCUCUUACCUUGGCAAGAAAUCUUACCUGAUGGGGGAGGAAGCGAGCGAGGUGGACUGCUCCAUGUUUGCCUUCCUCUCCAACAUAAUGUACAACUACCGGCGCUCCCCCUACUACACCACCAUCACAGAGGACUGUCCGAACCUGAAGGCAUACGUUAAGCGGGUGAAAGAACGUCUCUGGCCUGACUGGAAUCAAUGUUUGGAUCAGUCGUGACCACACCUGCAGUGGACAGCUUCCACCUACAGUGUAACCAAAACCUCGAUGCAUUAGAAUCCUCCGCGUGUCACUGUAGUUCUGCAGAAAUAUGAAAAGGAGAAGACAAAGCCUCACUUUGGACCUAUGGACCGCGUUAGGAAGAUGUUGCGGCAUGGAAGGGUGUCCUGUGGAGACUUUGGAGCGACACGGCAACGGCAGUAAGCUGUGGCAGUGCAAGUCACUGCGUUGCUGGAGAAAGGGGGGCUCCAGCUGGGGCCUACAAGCUAUUGUUGACCCAGGGAGGUCGUGAAGCGUUCAGACCCCGGAAUAAAUCAGCGCGGGUGUUGGGGAAUGAUGGAAAGGGACUCAGUAGUACAGUUUCUGGGGACCAGUCUUGUCUAUAAGAUCGGCAGGGAACAUGUAUCAGCAUUACGGGCUAUUCAUGCCCGUGCCACCUCUUGGGUGGCUUAAUCUUAAUAAAUCAAUCUGCAUCAGCAAUAUAGGUUCCACUCUUCUGUACUCAGUGGGUCAGAGCAAAGCUGUCUGGGCGGUUCUUGUGACUGGUUCCAUAGUGGUGUUGAGGUUUGUCUACAUAGGCAUGUCUUACGAAGAAAACGCCAGUGCAGACGAGUAAGAGAACCCUUGUGACACACAUAAGGGUCAUCUUAAAAUACCAAUCACUAAACAGGAACGGUUACCUUACCUUGAGAUUACCUUGCGAUGAUUUCAGGGUUCAACGGGCCUUAAUCAGACCUCCUGGACAUCGUCAUAGAGACAGCGUCGUCGUCAUCAUCGCAUCGUCAUCGUUGAGGGGCAGGGACCUUUCCUCGACCGUCCUUCAUUGGUACAUGUUUAGCAUGGCUGUCAUAGUAUAAGAGCCGACGAAGCAAGUGCUGAUAAGAUUACUAAGAAAAUGUUCAACAAAUUCAGUUUGUUGUACAAAUUUAUCGUAUACAGUAUGUUUCCUAUCUUUUUAUGUAUAAAUUAAACUUCUUAUUAACAUUAUUAAAUAUAGUGCUGAA
rnacentral:misc_RNA from 1 species